UAGCCUUAACAGACACCCAAUACCCAGU
rnacentral:piRNA from 1 species